rnacentral:hammerhead_ribozyme from 1 species
AUCCAGCUGACGAAUCCCGAAUAGGACGAAACGCGCUUUGUCCUACAU